rnacentral:rRNA from 1 species
CUUAGCAUAUCAAUAAGCGGAGGAAAGAAACCAACAGGGGAUACUCAGAACGGCGAGUGAAGCGGUAACAGCUCAAAUUUGAAAGCUGCCAACAGGCCGCGUUGUAAUUUGUAGAAGCUGCUUUGGGUGUCGGCCCGGUCUAAGUUCCUUGGAACAGGACGUCAUAGAGGGUGAGAAUCCCGUAUGUGAUCGGUGCCGUUGCCCGUGUAAAGCGCUUUCGACGAGUCGAGUUGUUUGGGAAUGCAGCUCAAAAUGGGUGGUAAAUUUCAUCUAAAGCUAAAUAUUGGCCAGAGACCGAUAGCGCACAAGUAGAGUGAUCGAAAGAUGAAAAGCACUUUGGAAAGAGAGUUAAACAGUACGUGAAAUUGUUGAAAGGGAAGCGCUUGCAACCAGACUUGCGGGCGGUCGAUCAUCCGAGGUUCUCCCCGGUGCACUCGAUCGUUCUCAGGCCAGCAUCGGUUUCCGGGGUGGGAUAAAGGCGGUGGGAAUGUGGCUCUUCGGAGUGUUAUAGCCCACCGUGCAAUGCCGCCACUGGGGACCGAGGACCGCGCUUCGGCUAGGAUGCUGCGUAAUGCUUGCUAGCGACGUCUGAACCCGG